CCGGAGCUACUGCCUACAUGUGCGCUGAGCAGCGAUAAGAUGAGCUAAUUGAGUGACUGAGUGAGUGCAAAGCGAUGUGAAGUUGGCGUGCAAGUGUUCGCAUACUCAACACGAUCCACUGGCGCUGUAUGGUAAGUUGCUUGGCGCUAGCUAGCCUAACCGCACGAAGUUACUUGAGUGUGCUAGCAUUGGCGCUGGCGUUGGAGCUGCCGCGUCGCUCGUUGGCAACUUUGCAAAAUCGCUUGCUUCGGUCAGUCGAUCGCUACUUUUGCAUUAAACUAAACGCGUUGAGCGCGUCGGUCGCGGUUUACCGGUACGCAUUGCUCGGUUCAUUGGUGCGCGCUUUGUUGUAACAGCUGUGCUUUGUGUAUAUGUAUGUAUUGUAUGGAGUGCGGCGUUAAGUUUUUAAAAAGCGCAUUUUUAUGAGUUUUUAUGUGUGUGAGCGCUACGUUCGCUAUUGUUUUGUGCGGUUUAUAGACUUGUUAAAAAUGAACAUCAACUAAAAUAUGCCUUUGAAGCUUAAAAACAGACAAUCCUCGAAGUAAUUGAAUUUGAGCAUUAUAAUAACUGUGAAAAUAAAAUUGCAAGUGAGAAAAUUUCGAAUUAACAAAGCAAACAGAAAACUCAAUUAGUGGAGAGUGUCAAAAAAAAGAAAUAAAAAAGUCAAAAGUAAAAGAAAAUAUGAAAAAGCGAUUAAAGUGAUAAUCCGCCAAAAUGAAACGACAGCAAAUAAAAAUCGUCAAAAAUUAAUUUCUACGAGGUUACGUGCAAACAAGGAAAUCUCAAUUUUAAUCAUAACUGGGAAAGCACAAAAAUUACAAAAAAAAGCAAAAAAAUUACAAAAACAAAAAUUUUAAAUAAAAUCAACAACAAAUCAGCUGCGACUGCUUGUAAGUGUAUGCGUGUGUGUGUGCAAGCACAGCGUCAUCACCUUUCACCGGCAACAAACGUUUGUUGUUGUUGUUUUACUACAUUUUACAACGAAAUCAAUUUGCAGCAACCAAAUAAAACAGCAAACGAGAGCCACACACUGGUUUAACAUACAUCCAUGUAUGUGUAUUUGUGUGUGUGCAUGUGUGUCGGCAGCUCACUCACUUAUCGGCCAAGCGAAACGCGCUGGCCAACAACCAAUUCACCUAUUUAACACAUACCGAUCAAACCGUACAACAACAACUGGUCAAGCGUUAAUCACUUGAUGGUUGGAGAAAACAACAACA